rnacentral:lncRNA from 1 species
ACAGGUCUAGGGCGACUUUGUUUCAUGAUAUGAUUCAUCGUGAAAGCGAAUGCCAUGUUGAUGACCUGAUGACAAAGUCCCAAGCAGGAGUGGGGCAUCUGGUAAACCGGAGCAAGUUGUUUGACCGGUUGAGAUAACUCAUACUGUUGAUUUCGAAUCAGUGCACUUAUGGAGUGCUGUCCGGUAAAAGGCUUAUUGUGAGCGGAUAAGAGGAAUCGAGGUCGAUCCUGCAAAAAAAAAAAAAAAAAAAAAAA